ACUCCUACGGGAGGCAGCAGUGGGGAAUAUUGCACAAUGGGCGCAAGCCUGAUGCAGCCAUGCCGCGUGUAUGAAGAAGGCCUUCGGGUUGUAAAGUACUUUCAGCAGUGAGGAAGGCAGGUACGUUAAUAGCGUGCUUGUUUGACGUUAGCUGCAGAAGAAGCACCGGCUAACUCCGUGCCAGCAGCCGCGGUAAUACGGAGGGUGCGAGCGUUAAUCGGAAUUACUGGGCGUAAAGCGCAUGCAGGUGGUUUGUUAAGUCAGAUGUGAAAGCCCGGGGCUCAACCUCGGAAUUGCAUUUGAAACUGGCAGACUAGAGUACUGUAGAGGGGGUAGAAUUUCAGGUGUAGCGGUGAAAUGCGUAGAGAUCUGAAGGAAUAACCGGUGGCGAAGGCGGCCCCCGUGGACAGAUACUGACACUCAGAUGCGAAAGCGUGGGGA
rnacentral:rRNA from 1 species